ensembl:misc_RNA Metazoa_SRP Metazoan signal recognition particle RNA
GCCAGGUGUGGUGGCGGGCACCUGUAAUCCCAGCUACUUGGGAGGCUGAGGCAGGAGAAUUGCUUGAACCCAGGAGGUGGAAGUUGCAGUGAGCCAAGAUCGCGCCACUGCACUCCAGCCUGGGUGACAGAGCAAGACUCUGUCUCAA